GAUGAACGCUGGCGGCGUGCUUAACACAUGCAAGUCGAACGGGAAUUACUUUAUUGAAACUUCGGUCGAUUUAAUUUAAUUCUAGUGGCGGACGGGUGAGUAACGCGUGGGUAACCUGCCUUAUACAGGGGGAUAACAGUCAGAAAUGGCUGCUAAUACCGCAUAAGCGCACAGAGCUGCAUGGCUCGGUGUGAAAAACUCCGGUGGUAUAAGAUGGACCCGCGUUGGAUUAGCGUGUUGGUGGGGUAACGGCCCACCAAGGCGACGAUCCAUAGCCGGCCUGAGAGGGGGAACGGCCACAUUGGGACUGAGACACGGCCCCGACUCCUACGGGAGGCAGCAGUGGGGAAUAUUGCACAAUGGGGGAAACCCUGAUGCAGCGACGCCGCGUGAAGGAAGAAGUAUCUCGGUAUGUAAACUUCUAUCAGCAGGGAAGAUAGUGACGGUACCUGACGAAGAAGCCCCGGCUAACUACGUG
rnacentral:rRNA from 1 species